rnacentral:rRNA from 1 species
UACGCCCGAUCUCGUCCGAUCUCGGAAGCUAAGCACGGUCGGGCCUGGUUAGUACUUGGAUCGGAGACCGCCUGGGAAUACUAGGUGCUGUAAGUUU